GGGGUGGGGUGGAGGGUGGGGAGAGUGAGGGGGGCAUGGUGGGAAGAAAGGUCCCGGAGGCUGGAAUGGGGUCCUCAGGCCAGUGUGGGUGCGCUGCGGCGGGAGGCGGGAGGGCGCGGAGCCCGCCAGCCGCCAGCAACCCCGGGGUGCGGUGCGGUGCGGUGCGGGGAGCGAGGAGGGGCCGGGCAGCGCCCCCCAGCAGCGGCCUGCAGCCCCCGCCUCCCCCGCCCCGCCCCAGGCCACAGGGAGCGACACGUCGCUGGAGGCCAGCCGCAGCAGCUCGGCCGGCAGCCUGCAGACCACGCUGGAGGACAGCCUGACCCUGAGCGACAGCCCCCGGCGCGCCCUGGGGCCGCCCGCCGCCGCCGCCCCCCCGGGCCCCCGCGCCGGCCCGUCGCCCGCCGCCCGCCGCCCCAGCCUGCGCGGCCGCGGCCCGUUCAGCCUGCGGGGCCUGCGCGCGCACCAGCGCAGCCACAGCAGCGGCGGCUCCACCAGCCCGGGCUGCACGCGGCGCGACUCCUUGGACGCGUCGGACGAGGAGGGCGCGGGCGGCCGCGGCGGCGCGGGCGGGGAGCCCUCGGAGGCGCUCAGCAGCCUGUCGCUCACCGCCCUGUUCGCGCCGCCGCCGCCGGGGCUCCCGGGCGCGCGCCGCUCCAGCAGCACCAGCAGCCUGGCCGCGCCCGCGCCCCGCGCCCCCGCCCCCGCCCCCGCCCCGCCCCGCGGCCCGGCCCCGAGCCCCUCCUCGUCCUGGGCGCCGGAGCGCAGCAAGGCGGCGGCGGCCCCGGCCCCGGCCCCGGCCCCGACGGCCUCCCCCGAGCCGCAGCCCGGCCCCGGCCCCGGCCCCGGCCCCGGCCCCGGCCCCGGCCCCGGCCCGGAGCAGCGGCAGGCGGGGGCCGCGGCGGGCAAGCGGAAGAGAUGAAGGCCGCGGGGCGGGGCGGGGGCGCGCCCCGUCUCACCUUGUCUUACCUCAGGGGCCGGGGGCGCACCCCGGGGUCGCGCAGGGGCCGGGCCAGGCCGCCGAGAGGGGGGCCCUGGCGGGUCCGGGUGAGCCGAGCCCCCGCCGCGGCCCUGCCCGUGCACGCGCGCGCACACACACAUAUAUAUAUGCAUAUAGAGAGAGAGACAGACAUAUAUAUUUAUUUAUUUUUUUUACCGAGAGCUUAUGAUUUCCAGAAAGUGCUAAAGUUGGGGGCGGGGGUGCGGGCCGGCCGCCAGGCAGGGCUUUUGCCCGACGCUGAAGGACCCGGCCGACCUACCCCAGGGCAGGUGGUCCCGCGGGGGUGUCAGCAGCCGAGCUCUUUGGUACGUCCCCUGGGCUGGGAGGAGCGGAGGAGAUGCUCUCAGGCCUCUGAAGUUCCUGUGGCUGGGGAGACAGGCUCCCAAGAGGUGAAAUUCAGGGUGCGUUCUUUUCUUUUCCUUUAA
rnacentral:lncRNA from 1 species